rnacentral:rRNA from 1 species
UACGGAGGGUGCGAACGUUAAUCGGAAUUACUGGGCGUAAAGCGCGCGUAGGCGGUUCGGUAAGUGGGAUGUGAAAGCCCUGGGCUCAACCUGGGAACUGCAUUCCAAACUGCCGAGCUAGAGUGUGGUAGAGGGAGGUAGAAUUUCCUGUGUAGCGGUGAAAUGCGUAGAUAUUGGAAGGAAUACCAGUGGCGAAGGCGGCCUCCUGGAUCAACACUGACGCUGAGGUGCGAAAGCGUGGGGAGCAAACAGG